GACGAACGCUGGCGGCGUGCUUAAUACAUGCAAGUCGAGCGAGGUUACUGCGACAGAUCCCUUCGGGGUGAAGUUGCUUUAACCUAGCGGCGGACGGGUGAGUAACGCGUGGGUAACCUACCCUAAAGUUCGGGAUAACAGCGGGAAACCGCUGCUAAUACCGGAUGCCUUUACCGUGUGGCAUCACAAGGUAAAGAAAGGUGACGCUUUAGGAUGGGCCCGCGUCCCAUUAGCUAGUUGGUGAGGUAACAGCUCACCAAGGCGACGAUGGGUAGCCGGCCUGAGAGGGUGGACGGCCACACUGGGACUGAGACACGGCCCAGACUCCUACGGGAGGCAGCAGUAGGGAAUAUUGCGCAAUGGACGGAAGUCUGACGCAGCGACGCCGCGUGAGCGAUGAAGGCCUUCGGGUUGUAAAGCUCUGUCCUUGGGGAAGAAGGUCUUCGGACUUGACGGUACCCAAGAAGAAAGCCCCGGCUAACUACGUGCCAGCAGCCGCGGUAAUACGUAGGGGGCGAGCGUUGUCCGGAAUUACUGGGCGUAAAGGGUGCGUAGGCGGCCCUUUAAGUCAGAUGUGAAGGCCCGCAGCUUAACUGCGGAAUUGCAUUUGAAACUGGAGGGCUUGAGUGUCGGAAAAGGUAGUGGAAUUCCCAGUGUAGCGGUGAAAUGCGUAGAUUUUGGGAGGAACACCAGUGGCGAAAGCGACUGCCUGGACGAUAACUGACGCUGAGGCACGAAAGCUAGGGGAGCAAACAGG
rnacentral:rRNA from 1 species